rnacentral:tRNA from 1 species
GGAACUGUGGCUUAGUGGAAGAGUCUCUGCUUUGCAUGCAGAAAGUUCCCGGUUCAAGACUUGGCAUCUCCA